rnacentral:rRNA from 1 species
ACAUAAAUGAAUCAAAACUUUCAACAACGGAUCUCUUGGUUCUGGCAUCGAUGAAGAACGCAGCGAAAUGCGAUAAGUAAUGUGAAUUGCAGAAUUCAGUGAAUCAUCGAAUCUUUGAACGCACAUUGCGCCCUCUGGUAUUCCGGAGGGCAUGCCUGUUCGAGCGUCAUUUCAACCCUCAAGCCUGGCUUGGUGAUGGGGCACUGCUUCUUACCCAAGGAGCAGGCCCUGAAAUUCAGUGGCGAGCUCGCCAGGACCCCGAGCGCAGUAGUUAAACCCUCGCUCUGGAAGGCCCUGGCGGUGCCCUGCCGUUAAACCCCCAACUUCUGAAAAUUUGACCUCGGAUCAGGUAGGAAUACCCGCUGAACUUAAGCAUAUCAAUAAGCGGAGGAAAAGAAACCAACAGGGAUUGCCCUAGUAACGGCGAGUGAAGCGGCAACAGCUCAAAUUUGAAAUCUGGCUUCGGCCCGAGUUGUAAUUUGCAGAGGAUGCUUCUGGCGCGGUGCCUUCCGAGUUCCCUGGAACGGGACGCCACAGAGGGUGAGAGCCCCGUAUGGUCGGACACCAAGCCUGUGUGAAGCUCCUUCGACGAGUCGAGUAGUUUGGGAAUGCUGCUCUAAAUGGGAGGUAAAUCUCUUCUAAAGCUAAAUACCGGCCAGAGACCGAUAGCGCACAAGUAGAGUGAUCGAAAGAUGAAAAGCACCUUGAAAAGGGGGUUAAAUAGUACGUGAAAUUGUUGAAAGGGAAGCACUUAUGACCAGACUUGGGCCGGGCGGCUCAUCAGGGGUUCUCCCCUGUGCACUCCGCCCGGCACAGGCCAGCAUCGGUUCUCGUGGGGGGAUAAGACCGUCAGGAACGUAGCACCCUCCGGGGUGUGUUAUAGCCUGGCGGACGAUACCCCCGUGGGGACCGAGGUCCGCGCUCCGCAAGGA